GCCUGGGUGGCUCAGUUGGUUGAGCGUCUGACUUCGGCUCAGGUCACCAUCCUGCGGUCUGUGGGUUCGAGCCCCGCGUCGGGCU
rnacentral:tRNA from 1 species